AAAACGAAAAGUGUUUUUCUGUUUCUAUCAGUGUAAUUCAGGCUCGCGUUUCUUUAACAAUAAGUACUCACUCCAACACUGAGUAUGAUACGAGUACAAUAGUCAAUAUAAAAAAUCUUUUUUUUGCAAUACUUUGCAAACUGUGAAGAAGCUGAAUAUGAUGGACUGUAAAUGAUGAAAUGUGAUCUAUAUUUGACGAACAAGGAAGAGAUUUAAUGCCCUCCUACGACGAUUUGAACCAAUAUAAUUUGAUUUUCGUGGUUUUGAGCAAUACGUAUCAAGUAAUAAUAAUUAUUAAUUCUUCGUACAUCUUAGAAACGCGCACUCUUUUGUGUUGGUAAGCGUCGUUUGGUGCGCAUGUAUUCGCAAAUUUUUAUAUACUCUGUCCUCAUUGUAUAUUAUAUUCUAAAGGACAAAAGAAUUUGUACUCAUAGUUAUGGUGUUGAGUCAUCUCCCUAGUAAAUAUUUGAGGCUUCGUUUCUUUUAUUUUUACCUCCAUCAAUGUUUAGUUAAUACUAGUGUUGGAUUCAUGUAAUAACUAUCGAGUUUAAGUCAUUGAGUAUUUACCCCAGUUUGUGUUUUUGAGCAAGGCAUCAAUUGUAGGAAAAAAUAUUAUUUCUUUGAAUUGAUCAAAGUACAAUAAUUGAGUGAAUUUUACUUCCUCAAUAUUAAGACAGUCAAUUAUUGUUCAUUUCAAAAAUUUGCAUUUAUAACGUCAAAACAAAACAAAACCUAAAUUAAAUUAAUUUAGGUUGCCAUAUAUACUUAUUAACGGUAAUGCUUGUCAGUAGCAUUUUGGGCUAAAAAAAUCAAUAUCAAAAUGAUGGUAACCCUGACAAUUUGAAGAAUGUUUGGGAGGUUUAAUUAAAUCAGCUAUACGCAGGUGUGACGAAACAAUGACAUAGGCAAAAAUUACUUUGACAUAUAAUUAAUACUCUGCAACAAAUCCUUAGGGUUAUUCUCUAUCUUCUAUUAGCGCAGGGAUUCUCAACAGGAACUAUCGACUUUAAUAAAGUCGGGUUUUUUUUCCGAGCUCAAGUCAUCCAACACUAGGUGGAGAGUCCUUCAUUAUGAAGGCUUUGGAGGAAAGAUUGACUCAAAUGGUAUGAAAACAAAACAAAACACGAAAGUAGAAAUCCAUAAUAGCUAUGAAUAUUCUACAUUGGUACAUAUCAAUUGGACUGUAAAAUAAAAACGCGACUUAUUUUUAAUUCAAAUAUUACGUAAUCCAUGAAUGAAUUUAAACUAAGGUUACGUCAUUUGCUGGACAAUUCUUUAUGGCCUAAUGAUGAAGCAAGAACUGGUUCGAAUAUCAAUUUAGUAUAGCAUCGUUUUAAUUGCGUCAGUGGAUGAGUACCACUCAAGUAUCGAUAUACUAAACCACAAAAGAGAGGCCCAUUAAUUCUGAAUUAUAUGGAGGGGACAAAAAGAGUUUGAUUGUCAGUUUGAUCCAGUAAGCCUGCAUUAUGAGGGGUGUCUGUGGAUAAAUAUGGAUUGUGUUUUAGAGUCGGUGGCAUUCAAAAUACUGGAGUCAGAGUUGGACAUUGUUUGUAACGACUCCGCAGCCAUGGCUUUGAUAAGGGUUAAAGAACUCAAGGGAACGAGCAGACACUCAGAAGAAGAAGGACUUGUUUUUUCCCUUUUGUUGCCGAUUGGCUUAAAAUUCAUACUUUGCAUCAACUUGUCGUUAAUUUUUACCUUCAUAGAAUGUGAGUAUUUUAUAAAUAAUAGGCUGAAGAAAAAGUUAUUUCGUAUUUCCCGCCUUUUUUUAAAUAAAUAUUUCUUCUUCAUUAUUGGUCCCAUCGGAUCAUACGAUGAGUAGUGUUGUAAAGAUUUAAGAACGCUUUUUGGACAGUAUUGCUGUUGGCCAGUUGUGCCGUGAAUUGUAAUGUGUCGAGUAUGGUAGUCUCAGAGGAAGAAAUUCGCCAUAUUUUACAUUUUUAUUCCCUGAAAGCAAAAACUGCGUCGAAAACGACAUAGAAAAUUUAUAAUGUAUCCGGUGCUAAUAUUCUUUCGGUUUUUGUUGCACAACAGUGGUUCAAGCAUUUUUUUCGCACUCAAUUCUGCCGUCUACUGGGAACAACUUGACCGUUUGAAGCUGGUGAUUGAACAAAAACGUCCAGUUUUGGGGAAUAGGAGACAUCAUCAAGACAACACUCAGCUGCACACAUCUUUGAUGACGCGCCAGAAGCUCUGCGAGCUCCGUUAGGAAGUUCUUAAGCAUCCACCCUGCAUUCCGGACCUGGCACCAAGUGACUAUCACAUGUUCCUGACUAUGGUCAAUGCGGUUGGAGGUACAAAUUUGGCCUCGAUAAAGGCUUUAAAAAAAUUUUUGUCCCAGUUUUUUGGCAAUAGGGACAAGGGCUUUUACGAAAAGGACAUUAUGAAGUUGGAAGCUCGUUGGCAACAAGUUAUUAAACAGAAUGAGGUAUACUUGGCUUCAAUUGGAUGACUGUAUCACUUUUUAUAAAGCAUUGAAAUAAAGCGAUAAAUACGAAA
rnacentral:lncRNA from 1 species